AACGUAGGACGCAAGCGUUAUCCGGAAUUACUGGGCGUAAAGCGCGUGUAGGCGGGUCUGGAAGUCUUUCGUGAAAGCUCCCGGCUAAACUGGGAGAGGUCGGUGGAAACUACAGGUCUGGAGUUUGGCAGAAGAAUGUGGAAUUCCGCGUGUAGUGGUGAAAUGCGUCGAGAUGCGGAGGAACACCAGUGGCGGAGGCGGCAUUCUGGGCCACAACUGACGCUGAGACGCGAAAGCAUGGGUAGCGAACGGG
rnacentral:rRNA from 1 species